rnacentral:tRNA from 1 species
CAGAAAAUAGUUUAUUAAUAAAAUAUUGAUUUUGGAGAUCAAUGAUAAGUAAUAUUUACUUUUUUCUGA